rnacentral:snRNA from 1 species
AGGUGAUCUGGCUGUGACAUCUGUCCCCUCAUUGAUCGCUAGCACUGAUUUGGCUGAUCUGGCUGUCUAAGCCAGUGUCCCCUUUUCUCCAUGUAGGUCCCUCACAAAGUUGCAUGAAGAGGAUGACCUUCCCCAAUAGAAGAGGAUCAUUCUCCUGUCAAGGGUAUAUAAAUAGGUGUACUCCCUUGAAAGAACUUCCAAACUCUGAUGUUUCAUUGGAAGUGAACCUGGGGGUCUUGCCGACUGGAGCUCCUCAAGGAAGCCCAGUUUAA